AAUAACAAGAUCAAUUUCAGAUGUAAUAGAAUACUAGUAUGAACAAUCGUUUUAUAAUCUGAGAGACGUUGAUACCAAACAUUAAUAAACUUGAAGGUGGACUGGGGGAAGGAAAAUUAUAGAAGCUAAUAUUAAUCUCCUCAAGUUUAAAUGAAUCUAACUAAGAUUAAAUGGGACAGUUAUCCAUUUCAUCUGUCGCAGACAGUCCAAACUACUACCGGUACCUUAAAUCAGAGAUCAUUAGCCAUUUUUCGAAACCAGAAGUAGAACAAGGAUAACAUAUAGUAAUGAUAUUGUAAUCGGAAUUCGGAAACUUCACCAAAAGGCAAGACUAAAAGCUCAUAUUCACUAAAGCUAAUUUGUAAGAACUUGUAAGCAUAUUUAAGAAUUUGCACAUAAGGAUCAGAAAACUAGAAAGUUUCUUCUAUGGAACCUUCCACAGUUGAGUGAAGAUACUUCCAUUUGUUGUCUAUAGUUAUUGUUUCUAUCAUCUUGGGCCUGAUAAUUGAAUUUCUGACAAAAAUGCACUACUAUUGUCAUCAACUACUCCUGAAGAAGUACCCUCUUCACUGCUCCACUUAAAGAAACUUGAGUAAGCCCAUGAAUUCAACUGAGAAGGGGUUGGAGGCUGAGGUACCGGACAGAGACCUUCAAGCAUUUGGACAACUUUAGUCAUCGGUGGUCUCAACUGCAUCUCAUUUUGUAUGCACCACAAUGCAACUUUAAUUGCAGUAGCAAUACUCUCAUCAUUUUCAUCCAUAUCUAGCCUUGGAUCAAGGAUUUCUCUUUGGUUACCUUCUUCUAGCAUCUUGAAGGCAUAGGAAGGAAAUCGAGCUUUCUCUGAAUCAUCCCCCACAGAAAAACUCCUCCUGCCCCCGAUGAUCUCUAGCAAGACCAUACCGUAGCUGUAUACAUCACUCUUCUCUGAAAUAGGAUUGUUUGUUAUCCAUUCUGGUGCAAGGUACCCCCGUGUACCCCUCAGUGUCGUGUAUACAAGGCUUUCUUCACGGUUCAUCAGCUUAGCCAAACCAAAAUCUGAAACUUUGGCAGUGAAAUUAUCAUCGAGAAGAACAUUCUCAGGUUUUAUGUCGCAAUGAACAAUCUUUACCUCACACUCCUCAUGAAGAUAAGCUAAUCCCUUUGCCAUGCCUAAUGCAAUAUUAAAUCUUGUAAUCCAACUCAAAAACCGGCUUUCCUCAGUACUAUUGAAGAUCCAUUUAUCCAAAGACCCGUUUCCCAAGUACUCAUAAGCAAGAAGCCUGUGAGCUCCCUCUAUGCAGAAGCCUUUGAGUUUGACCAGAUGAACAUGAUGUACAUUCCCAAUUGUUGUGACUUCAGCGCUAAAUUCCUUCUUCCCCUGCCCAAUGCUCUCCAGCUUUUUGACUGCCACUUGGAUACCAUCUGGUAGCAUGCCUAGAUAGACUGAGCCAAACCCUCCUUGUCCGAGCUUUGUCGAGAAGUUUUUAGUUGCUUUACAAAGAUCAUCGUAACUGAAACGAGUAGGCAUACCUGAAAUUUUUUCCAAAAAGUUAUCCUCUUCCAAGUCUUCUUGAGAAAAUUUUGUUAAUCUCUUCCUUUUGUUGUGGUGCCAGAGUCCUGCAUAAAGUAGACUGGCAAUUACAAGUAUAGUUGCACCAACUAUGACAACAAUUAGUACGAUGGUUUUCCCUCCAUCACUUUCUCGACUUUCAGAGUUUAAGACCUCAUUUCCACUUGAUAUUUUCAUAUAUGAAACAUAACCGGUAGAACCCUGCUGAGAGCGUUGCAAACUACCUAUCUGAUCAAACAAGAAGCAAUUCUUCGUACUAUUUUCAAAGAACAGCACAGAGCAGGAGCAGUUAUGUAGGCAAGCUUCUUUGCAUGUAUUAAGAUCAUAUCUCGGAAAGGGUGAUACAAACCCAAGUGCAAAAUAAUCAAGCCUUUCACCCAGAUAGAAAAGCUUUGCCGAAUUCAUGGAUACAUUGCAUGUUGAAGCAACUGGAGGUCUGCAGUUCAAUUGAGAUCUGAGGGAAGUAGGGCACUGGCACCAAUUGUCAAAAUAGCACACAAAAUACGGGUUACAAGGCUCAGGAACGCUGCAAGAAAUUUGCGGGAUCUUGAUUGCCUCAGAAGUAGCUGCCUUUCCGUUACGAAGAUUAGAAAAUGUAAUUUCCCCAUUAGAGCCUAAAAUGGCAGCCCAGGUAGCAUUCUCAUCAUUGUUUUCUGAGAAGAUGAAUUGCCAAAGCAAUGCCUUUUUAAUAUCAUAAAAAUUCCACGAAUUGGACACCAAAGAAGCAGAAUGGACCUUGGCAGCUACACUGGUAUUGGUUUUCCGGCUGUCGUUAGCCAAGGACCAAUACGUUUGUGGAGUUUGAUACCCUGCAUACAAGACUAAAUCGCCCGACUUGAAUUCAAGAUAAACACUCAUGUUAUUGCUAUUGGGAAAACUUUUAAGCCUCAUCCCUUCCACAAACUCUUGGCCAGGUAAAAGGGUAUCAGUUGGAUGGCUAAAACUCUGCCAAAGAAUACUUCCAUUUACCCCGAGCAAUACCAAGUUGCCCGAGUCCUGCAAUUCCAUGCAUUCAACUUUCUGUCCUGAAGUAUUUGCAGACCAAGCUUCACCAUUUCCUCUUUGUAAAUACGCAUUCCCAUUUUUCUCAAACACAAACUUAUCAGAAUCUCUAAUCAACAAGCCUCUAUUGGCAGUCCAAACUACUUUUGCGCUACUAAUAUGAAUAACAACCAGCAAAAAGAAUUGAACAUCCAAGGCAGUAUAAAAGCCAAAACCAAAAACCGAGUUAUUAGAGAUUAGAAAUAGCCCGCUGUUAUUGAUCCACUCCAUCUGGGUUGCUUCAAACCCAGGAUAAAGCUUUCCAAUACGUUGGGAGCCAGCAAUGCAGGUUUUGAACACAAGGAGUAGACAAAAACACAAGGCCCCCGUGUAUCUAAAUAAACCCAUAGUUUCUUUAACUGCAAAAACGCACUCAACUUUCCCCAAUAAACACAAGAGCAACUUACAACCAAAAAUUAGCUCAAAAUAAUUUUAAAAAAUUACAGAUUUUGCUAUAUUUCUUAAAAUUUAAACAUUUGCAGGAGAACUUUGACGUAGAACAAAGUGUAUUGAAAUUAAAUCACAAAAAAAUCAUAAAAAGACUGAUAAAAUAUAUGAAGAGCAAUUGUUCUGCAGACCCUCUAAAUAAAGAAUCAGUCAAAUUACAAGCUGCGUGAAUCAAAGAGUCAAAAAUCUUUUCUUUAAGCAAAAUGGAGCAAAAGCAAAAAGAUUUAAAAGAAACUUGGAAACAUGGUAACUGACCUCAAUUGUGUUGCAGAAACAAAUGCGUCUGCAUAGCUGGGGUCUUUGGCUUUUCCCCUAUUUUGAGGAAAUAGAAGCCAAUCCUUUCGCUUUCUCUAGAUAGAAAAAAGGAAGAGAAAGUUGGAAAAGCAGGUAAUGCAGUUGAUUGUGCGACUGCAACCAAGACUUUAAUUACAACGACGUUAAUCCAUGUGUGGUUGCGUUUUGUCCUUUCUAGUUUCUUUCACUUUCUUUGUUUCUUAGCUAUGUGCGUUACAUGUGAUUGACUCCAAAUACCAAAUUUAUCACGGUAGUUUCCACCAACUUCAGUGUUUGUGUGUCCUUUCUUGGAUGUCUUUCCCUGUUCACAUUUUGAGUUUUCAGACUUUCGUUAUCCUUUCUUGGAAAUUUUUUUUGGGUGAGAUGAACUCUUACUCAACCUUCAUUUUCUUUGAAUUGCAUCAGUAAGUAACACUGUUACUUAAUUUAGGUUAGAACCUUAUCUCAUAUACCCAUCAGUGUAUUUGGAUGCUAAUUGAUUAAAAAAAUAAAAAAUUAAACCUUUGAAAAAAAUUAGAUUAUGAGAGAAUCUGUGCCAAUUAUGAUCGGACCUGAAAUCUAGGAUAUCCGUCUCUAAUGCAACAAUUUAUAUCUUUUGUUUACAAGUUGAUUAUUUUAAUAUUAGCGUGAAUCUAUUUGAUGCACAACAUAGUGCAUGUGAACUGUGAAAGCUCCUUCACUGCUGCUUUACAAAUUACAACCACUAGCUUAAUUUGCAAUUAAUGGAUGGAUGAGAUAAAGCCAAAUUAAUAAUACGAUCAGCUAUAUUAUAAAUUAGUGGCUCAAUCAAUUAUUUAAUCAUACAAUUUGCUCAACUGAGAUUUGCAUGAUCAUAAUAAAUUAAUACCAAGGUGUUGCAUCUAAUCAUAAAGCCACUAAUGAAAGCUACCCCCAAUCUUGUCUUCUUCGCUCGAAUGAGUUUUAGAGGACGAUGGCUGUCCGUGAAAUUAAGACUUCAUGAUAAGGGUCAAGAUCCCACAACCAAUCAAAAAGCAUCUGAUUUCACUUUGUAGUUUGGUGCCACUUUUUAAUGUUAAAAACGAAUUACAAUAUUUUAUCGGUUGGGAUUCGAUAAUUAUUUUUAUCUCAAUAAAAUGAUUGAAGCUGUUAACAAUUGAUCGAAAAGUAAUUUGCCAUAGUCCGUAGUUAAUUGCUAAGUAACAACUUUUUUUUGUUUAAUUACUACGUAAUUAAUCUGCAUAAUUUUCUGUUUCAUAAUUCUCAUGUACUAUUAAUUUCAAAGGAAAAAAAAAAAAAAGAACUCAAUGCAAUGUUAUUGUGCGAUUAACCCUACAAAUUAAGGGGCGCGAUCAUUUUCCAUUUUACAAGAACAAGAAGGAUGAUGAUGAUGAAAAAGAAGGCUGUGAAGUUGAAGACGGUGGUGGUAGUUAUGUGCAAACAAUGGUCAUGGGUGGCGGUUUGGGAAAUAAUGGCGGGAAAAUAUGCGGCGGCCGUGGCGGCGGAGAUGUUGGUGGUGGGGGUGGGGGGUCGGGGUUUUCUGGGAGUAAUAAUAAUUAUAGUAAUAACAAUCAUGGGAGUAGUAGCACUGAUGCUUAUAAUGAGAAGAUGAUAGAAGCAAAUCCUGGAAACGCUUUGUUGCUUGGAAAUUAUGCCAGGUUCUUGAAAGAGGUAAUGUUAUUAGUUUUGUGGAUAUAUAUAUAUAUAUAUAUAUAUAUUUUUUUUUUUUUUAAAAAAAAAGAAUUCUGCUGAGAUUUUUUUGAUUACGAAUGGACAGGUCAGAGGAGAUUUUGCAAAAGCAGAGGAGUUAUGUGGAAGAGCAAUUUUGGCUAACCCAGGUGAUGGUAAUAUCUUGUCACUCUAUGCGGAUCUAAUAUGGCAAGCUCAUAAAGAUGCUUCAUAAAGAUGCUUCAAGAGCUGAGAGUUACUUUGAUCAAGCUGUUAAAUCUGCCCCUGAUGAUUGGUAAGGGAUCAAACCCAUAUGAAUGCAUGCAUUGAUUGAAUUUGAUUAAAUUGUACCUUUGAUUGUUACUUAGGCGCUGACUUUGUUAAUUAUAGUGACUGGGAUCUUUUGGAACUUGGACUGUCUAGAUAUUCAGAAGUUUGUUUGUGCUUUCCCGUUUGUGAUAUAGCAUACUCACUGAAGAAGUCUUACGUUGAAAAUUGAAUUUUUUGUGCAGUUAUGUGCUUGCAUCAUAUGCUAAAUUUCUGUGGGAUGCUGGAGAUGAUGAAGAACAAGACAAUGAAGAGGGCCAACAUCAAACUGAUCACAGCCAUACGUCACCACCUAAUUUCUUCCACGGGGCUUCUCAUCAUUCUCCUUUAACUGCUGCAUCUUAAGAAGCAUAAAAGAGUUAAAACCAAUGAUAGCUGCUAUGAGUUGUAAGAUAGCCAAGCCAACAUAUUACUAAUGCGUAGCCAACAAAAAUAUUAACAUAGUUACUUUCUCACUGUAAUAUCCUAACAAUAACUUUGCCUAAAUAUGUAAAAUGUAGGGAGCGAACCAUGUAUCAUAUGUGUAUCUUUCUAUCUUUCUACAUGAUGAGCCCAUGUACCAUGUAACUUGCCCUUUUUUCUGUAUUAUGGAGAGACACUUUUCAGGAUCUUCAUUCUUUCCAAUAAUUUUAAGUUAGAAGUCCAACCAUCUCUAAGUCUUAAAAUAAUCUAGAACAGACGAGGGAAAGUGGGUAAAUGAAUGGCCAACAGAAUCAGUCCUCUCAUUUCUUUACUUUUUGUCUCAAAAUUCUUUGUUACAUUCUAACCAAUUUACGUGGGUCACUAGAUUUCAUUUUCUUUCAUAUACGUUAAGAGGAUAAGUUGAUAUGCUCUGAUUAUUAAUUAUUAGUUAUGGAGUUGCGGAGACUCCUUUUGUCAUUUUUUUUUUUUUGGUGAUUAUGAGAUAUAUAUUGUUGGGAAAAUAUGCUCUUUAAAAAUAUGUGUUUAUUUAAUUAUAAUAAAUAUUUUUUCUGAUUAAUAAAAUUAAUGAGGUAUUUUAUUCAAAUAUUUUAAUUGCAUUAAUAUUUUGAUCAAAGUCCAUUUUAUCAUAUUAUAUGUAUUUAUGUGAUCACCAUGUGGAUUCACAGAAGACAUAAAUAUAAGUUAUCUUAUGAUUAAAUAAAUUUAGUUCGCAGUUGAUAAAUAAAAUUGGACACUUUAUUUAGGUAUAGACUGUAAUGAAUUCAUUGAAUAAUUUGUCUUAAUCAUGUAUGAAUUUAUUGAUGUAGUACGACUACAUUGAACAUGAUUAUAUAUGAGAUUUAAUUAAUCUUAAAAUAACUGUCAGACUUAUUAAAUCUCAUAGGCAUUGAUUUUACUGUAAUCUUAAUCUUGAGUUAGUUAUGAUUUCAUGAUUGUAAUUGUUAUUCCAUUUGAGUUACCAAUGGGCACGACACACAAUUAUGGCAAGAUUACCCGGUAUCUUGGUGGGACCAAUUAUGGGUAUUGAAGUUAUGGAUUAACAAUAUAGAAUUUGUACAACACAUCUCUUGAUGAGUUUUCGGCACUUGAUCAUAGAAUUCUUUGGAUAGAGUGUGUCAACAUAUUUAGUAUGUUGAAAAUGAUCAUUAGAGAAAACCAGUAAGUAUCAAGGAGCAAGAUGUAAUUAAAUUGAUUGGACAGUUGAUAUAUCGAUUUACUUAAUGAUGUGGUACAAAGGAUUGUGCAGUAAAGAAAUCAAUGUGGCUUGGGACGAAUUAUUAUUCGAGCAUACAAUUAUGGAGGUCAAUUCCAAUCUUUUAGUGGAGUAGAUUUGGAAUUAAAUAAUUAGACUAUUUUAAUCACAGACCUAAUUGUUAUAGCCACUUGUAUGUUCCCAAAUAAUCCCCGGGUUAGCUCAUUUAACUGACUGCACCACUACUGGAUUAAUAAGUAAGAUAACUAACUAUUUGGGUCAAAAACCUAAAUAUAUCAUUUAGUGGGAGGCUCCAUUUAAUUAGCUUGUGUGUAAAGGGCCUUAAGUUAUUUUAUAAGGUGGGUCCCCUAUAGAAAAAGCAAGUAACGUGAGUUUUGAUUUUCAUUAUUUGGAGCCCAGAGUUUUCACUAAAGGAAGAUAUAAAAAGGCUUAUUUUCUCUAAAGAAAAAGAAAAGCAGCCACUUUAUACAGAUCAGAGAAAAAAAAUUUUCUCUCUAUUGAGAGAAAAAUUUUCUCGUGCUAGUUGCUUUGGUAGUGAUAAAGGCGCCCACACGUCAAGUGCAGAUCAAACCUUAAUCAUAACUUAGAAGAUCAUUGGUGACAGUUCGUGAUCUGAUAAGCGUGGUGGUGACGGAUCGUGAUCUAACAGGAGUGGUGGUGAUAGAUCAUGAUCUGGGAGCCUAAAUCACUUCAGCGGAAAAAGCCAAAUCAAAUUUUCAAGGUACGAUUUCUAGAUUACAAAUUCUUAUAUAUUGUAUGUGAACGAUCUUAAAAAAUUUUAUAAAAUUUUAAAAAAAUGAUUUUUCUCCAACAUUUAUAUGGUAGCCUCGGUGGACAAAUGACAUCUCUUCCCAAGUUAUUUUUUUCAUAACAUCACCAAGAAAGUGAUUGGAAGAUAGAGAUCAAGCUGAGGAUCCAAGAACAUUUUAGCAGAUGAAAAAUCUCAAUCAUUGAACUUAGAAUUGGCUUUGGUAGCAGGGAAACAGAACCAAUAUCAACCAUUUGAGAUUAGGUGGAUGUGAAUAGUUUCCAAAUUCAAUUGAUAUUUCUUCAAUAAAUAUAAUUUAAAAUACAUUAAAAAUCUCUCUUGAGAUUAACUAGAAUCCUCCAUCAGAAGAGCUUGUGAAUGGGCACAUUGUGAAAGCGUGGGGACAAUUUUCCCAGGGUAAUGAAGCCGAAAGCAAAAAAUGAUUUGUGAUGUAAUCUGUCAUAUUAUUUUAUGUUAUCACAACUCAAUCUGCAAAGACUAUCUAUGAAAGCAACAAGAAGAAAAUCUCAUACUCUGCAGGCAAAUUGAGAAUUUCAUAAUAUGUUGGUCAUAGAUAUUAAAAGGGACGGAUCUCUUAUUUUAAUUUAAGUGUUUGUUUAGUUGUUACGUUUUAAAAAUAUUUUGUUGUUAUUAAUUAUGUUACAUUCUUAUCUUUAUUUUUCUUUUAUUUUUACAAUAAUAUCCUAACAACAAUACUUUUAAUAUUAAUUAAUUAAUUUACAAAAAAAUUAAUUAGCAGAUGAACCAAUAAAUAUUUAUUAACAAAUUAACUAAUAAGUAUCAAUAUAACAGAAAUAAUAUUUUCUGUAACCUCACAACAAUCUUACUAAUAAUUAUUUAUAAAUAAAUUAAUAUUGGCUAACUUAAAGUAAUAUUUAAUAUCCUUUCAAUAAUCUUACUAACAAUUAUUUAUAAAAUUUUAAUUUACCAAAUUAAUAAAGUGAAAUAAUAACAUAAAAAUUUACAUUAGUUUUUAUUUUGUGUUUAAGAUUAAUUUGAUAAAUUAAUAUUUUUUCAGUAAUAUCUGAAAAAUAUUGCUGCAAGAGUAUGAUUAUAAGAAGAAAGAAAAAUUAAGGAUAGGAACAUAAUAUUUUUAACAGUAGAGGUUUUUUGAGGUAUUAUUUAAAAUAUAAAGACUAAAUGGCCUAUUAAGCUAAAAUAUAAGGACUUAACAUACAUUUACCCCAUCAAAAGAAAAUGUUCACUAGCUACCAUAAAUUGCAACAGAAACACUAGAUCUAUCUUGAAUCCUCCUGAUUGAAUUUACAGUGUGUGAUAUUGAGCAAAUGGCAAAUGGUUUUAGCAGCAAUCGUCUUGCUUUUGAAUCUCUGAUGUGAUAUGUCUUCUCAAUUGAUUACUUAAUUGAAAGUUGAUUAAAUAUCUCUAUAUAAUAAUCAUAAAAAUCUUUUCUGCAUAUGUUAUAUAUGGGAUUGUCACAAAAAACUAGAAACGCAUCAAAUAACAAGAUCAAUUUCAGAUGUAAUAGAAUACUAGUAUGAACAAUCGUUUUAUAAUCUGAGAGACGUUGAAACCAAACAUUAAUAAACUUGAAGCUGGACUGGGGGAAGGAAAAUUAUAGAAGCUAAUAUUAAUCUCCUCAAGUUUAAAUGAAUCUAACUAAGAUUAAAUGGGACAGUUAUCCAUUUCAUCUGUCGCAGACAGUCCAAACUACUACCGGUACCUUAAAUCAGAGAUCAUUAGCCAUUUUUCGAAACCAGAAGUAGAACAAGGAUAACAUAUAGUAAUGAUAUUGUAAUCGGAAUUCGGAAACUGCACCAAAAGGCAAGACCAAAAGCUCAUAUUCACUAAAGCUAAUUUGUAAGAACUUGUAAGCAUAUUUAAGAAUUUGCACAUAAAGGACCAGGAAACUAUAAAGUUUCUUCUAUGAAUGCAAAAGCUAACCUUCCGCAGGUGAGUGAAGAUACUACCAUUUGCUGUCUAUAGUAUUUGUUUCUAUCUUGGGCCUGAUAAUUGAAUUUCUGACAAAAAUGCACCACUAUUGUCAUCAAUUACUCCAGAAGAAGUACCCUUUUCCCUGCUCCACUUAGAGAAACUUGAGUAAGCCCAUGAAUUCAACUGAGAAGGGGUUGGAGGCUGAGGUACCGGACAGAGACCUUCAAGCAUUUGGACAACUUUAGUCAUCGGUGGUCUCAACUGCAUCUCAUUUUGUAUGCACCACAAUGCAACUUUAAUUGCAGUAGCAAUACUCUCAUCAUUUUCAUCCAUAUCUAGCCUCGGAUCAAGGAUUUCUCUUUGUUUACCUUCUUCUAGCAUCUUGAAGGCGUAGGAAGGAAAUUGAGCUUUCUCUGAAUCAUCCCCUACAGAAAAACUCUUCCUGCCCCCGAUUAUCUCUAGCAAGACCAUACCGUAGCUGUAUACAUCACUCUUCUCUGAAAUAGGAUUGUUUGUUAUCCAUUCUGGUGCAAGGUACCCCCGUGUACCCCUCAGUGUCGUGUAUACAAGGCUUUCUUCACGGUUCAUCAGCUUAGCCAAACCAAAAUCUGAAACUUUGGCAGUGAAAUUAUCAUCGAGAAGAACAUUCUCAGGUUUUAUGUCGCAAUGAACAAUCUUUACCUCACACUCCUCAUGAAGAUAAGCUAAUCCCUUUGCCGUACCUAAUGCAAUAUUAAAUCUUGUAUUCCAACUCAAAAACUGGCUUUCCUCAGUACUAUUGAAGAUCCAUUUAUCCAAAGACCCGUUUACCAAGUACUCAUAAGCAAGAAGCCUGUGAGCUCCCUCUAUGCAGAAACCUUUGAGUUUGACCAGAUGAACAUGAUGUACAUUCCCAAUUAUUGUGACUUCAGCACUAAAUUCCUUCUUCCCCUGCCCAAUGCUCUCCAGCUUUUUGACUGCCACUUGGAUACCAUCUGGUAGCAUGCCUAGAUACACUGAGCCAAACCCUCCUUGUCCAAGCUUUGUAGAGAAGUUUUUAGUUGCUUUACAAAGAUCAUCGUAACUGAAACGAGUAGGCAUACCUGAAAAACUUUCCAAGAAAUAAUCCUCUUCCAAGUUUUCUUGAGAAAAUUUUGUUAAUCUCUUCCUUUUGUUGUGGUGCCAGAGUCCUGCAUAAAGUAGACUGGCAAUUACAAGUAUAGUUGCAACAACUAUGACAACAAUUAGUACGAUGGUUUUCCCUCCACCACUUUCUCGAAUUUUAGAGUUUAAGACCUCAUUUCCACUUGAUAUUUUCAUAUAUGAAACAUAACCGGUAGAACCCUGCUGAGAGCGUUGCAAACUACCUAUCUGAUCAAACAAGAAGCAAUUCUUCGUACUAUUUUCAAAGAACAGCACAGAGCAGGAGCAGUUAUGUAGGCAAGCUUCUUUGCAUGUAUUAAUAUCAUAUUUUGGAAAGGCUGAUACAAACCCAAGAGCAAAAUAAUCAAGCCUUUCACCCAGAUAGAAAAGCUUUGCCGAAUUCAUGGAUUCAUUGCAUGUUGAAGCAACUGGAGGUCUGCAGUUCAAUUGAGAUCUGAGGGAAGGAGGGCAUUGGCACCGAUUGUCAAAAUAGCACACAAAAUAUGGGUUGCAAGGCUCAGGAACGCUGCAAGAAUUUUGCGGGAUCUUGAUUACCUCAGAAGCAGCUGCCCUUCUGUUACGAAGAUUAGAAAAUGUAAUUUCCCCAUUAAAGCCUAAAAUGGCAGCCCAGGUAGCAUUCUCAUCAUUGUUUUCUGAGAAGAUGAAUUGCCAAAGCAAUGCCUUUUUAAUAUCAUAAAAAUUCCACGCAUUGGACACCAAAGAAGCAGAAUGGACCUUGGCAGAUACAC
rnacentral:lncRNA from 1 species